UGGCUAAUCCUGGUCGGACAUCAGGAGGUUAGUGCAAUGGCAUAAGCCAGCUUGACUGCGAGCGUGACGGCGCGAGCAGGUGCGAAAGCAGGUCAUAGUGAUCCGGUGGUUCUGAAUGGAAGGGCCAUCGCUCAACGGAUAAAAGGUACUCCGGGGAUAACAGGCUGAUACCGCCCAAGAGUUCAUAUCGACGGCGGUGUUUGGCACCUCGAUGUCGGCUCAUCACAUCCUGGGGCUGAAGUAGGUCCCAAGGGUAUGGCUGUUCGCCAUUUAAAGUGGUACGCGAGCUGGGUUUAGAACGUCGUGAGACAGUUCGGUCCCUAUCUGCCGUGGGCGCUGGAGAACUGAGGGGGGCUGCUCCUAGUACGAGAGGACCGGAGUGGACGCAUCACUGGUGUUCGGGUUGUCAUGCCAAUGGCACUGCCCGGUAGCUAAAUGCGGAAGAGAUAAGUGCUGAAAGCAUCUAAGCACGAAACUUGCCCCGAGAUGAGUUCUCCCUGAGACUACAAGUCUCC
rnacentral:rRNA from 1 species